rnacentral:rRNA from 1 species
GAUGAACGCUGGCGGCGUGCCUAAUACAUGCAAGUCGAGCGAACGGACGAGAAGCUUGCUUCUCUGAUGUUAGCGGCGGACGGGUGAGUAACACGUGGAUAACCUACCUAUAAGACUGGGAUAACUUCGGGAAACCGGAGCUAAUACCGGAUAAUAUUUUGAACCGCAUGGUUCAAAAGUGAAAGACGGUCUUGCUGUCACUUAUAGAUGGAUCCGCGCUGCAUUAGCUAGUUGGUAAGGUAACGGCUUACCAAGGCAACGAUGCAUAGCCGACCUGAGAGGGUGAUCGGCCACACUGGAACUGAGACACGGUCCAGACUCCUACGGGAGGCAGCAGUAGGGAAUCUUCCGCAAUGGGCGAAAGCCUGACGGAGCAACGCCGCGUGAGUGAUGAAGGUCUUCGGAUCGUAAAACUCUGUUAUUAGGGAAGAACAUAUGUGUAAGUAACUGUGCACAUCUUGACGGUACCUAAUCAGAAAGCCACGGCUAACUACGUGCCAGCAGCCGCGGUAAUACGUAGGUGGCAAGCGUUAUCCGGAAUUAUUGGGCGUAAAGCGCGCGUAGGCGGUUUUUUAAGUCUGAUGUGAAAGCCCACGGCUCAACCGUGGAGGGUCAUUGGAAACUGGAAAACUUGAGUGCAGAAGAGGAAAGUGGAAUUCCAUGUGUAGCGGUGAAAUGCGCAGAGAUAUGGAGGAACACCAGUGGCGAAGGCGACUUUCUGGUCUGUAACUGACGCUGAUGUGCGAAAGCGUGGGGAUCAAACAGGAUUAGAUACCCUGGUAGUCCACGCCGUAAACGAUGAGUGCUAAGUGUUAGGGGGUUUCCGCCCCCUAGUGCUGCAGCUAACGCAUUAAGCACUCCGCCUGGGGAGUACGACCGCAAGGUUGAAACUCAAAGGAAUUGACGGGGACCCGCACAAGCGGUGGAGCAUGUGGUUUAAUUCGAAGCAACGCGAAGAACCUUACCAAAUCUUGACAUCCUUUGACAACUCUAGAGAUAGAGCCUUCCCCUUCGGGGGACAAAGUGACAGGUGGUGCAUGGUUGUCGUCAGCUCGUGUCGUGAGAUGUUGGGUUAAGUCCCGCAACGAGCGCAACCCUUAAGCUUAGUUGCCAUCAUUAAGUUGGGCACUCUAAGUUGACUGCCGGUGACAAACCGGAGGAAGGUGGGGAUGACGUCAAAUCAUCAUGCCCCUUAUGAUUUGGGCUACACACGUGCUACAAUGGACAAUACAAAGGGCAGCGAAACCGCGAGGUCAAGCAAAUCCCAUAAAGUUGUUCUCAGUUCGGAUUGUAGUCUGCAACUCAACUACAUGAAGCUGGAAUCGCUAGUAAUCGUAGAUCAGCAUGCUACGGUGAAUACGUUCCCGGGUCU